GGACUUCCGGACGCGGCCCUGCCCCGGGAACUGCGGGUGUUCAGGACCCUGUGGUGCGCGGGACGCCGCCCGCGCAUGCGCCGCGCCGGCUCAGCCCCGUUUUCGCAAGCUCUGCGUGGUCUUGGGUGGCGAGUUCGAGCCUUAGAACGGCCGAGUGCCCUGGAACCGGUUUCGGCUCUGGCGUCCUCGCGUGUCCUCCGGCUCCAGGUUACAACGUCAGUAUUGGCGCCUUGGCGCGGUCCCGUCCUGCUCUCGUCCUCCGUUCCGUGGACCCCGGGGCUGUUCUGGCGCCUCGCAGGCCGGGCCCCUCCCAUCGACUCGAUGGGCAGGGCUCUGCGAGGCUCGGGGACCGGGGACGCGCGGCCUUCCUGACAAGGAGCCCGAGGGUCUGCACAGCCUGGGGCACCACCCGGCCUGGUGAGGAUGAUCGCUGUGCGCGCGAUGCACAUGCGCCCUCAACACCUGCGCACAUGUCUGCACACGAGUCACACGUGCAAGUGCACGCAUGGAUGGUGGACACGCGUUUACACACGUGAAUAUGUGUAUACACAUGCAGACACAUGUGCCUGCCCACAUGGAUGUGUGCACAAACAAGCACAGAGGUCCUCAGUGGCUCACUCCUGGUGGCCGUGUGCUGUGGGCUGGGAAUGGCCAUACUCAUUUCUCAGAGCUUUUGAGUUGUGUGUGUUUCCAGUUGUGCAUAUUAAUUAGAAAAAACAAAAGUGAAUUUGUAGGUUAAGGCAGGUCCUUAAGUUUCCUUAAUUUCCUCUCCCUGGAGACCUGGCAGGCUGGGCCGGGCACUGCUGCGGAAGGCCAGCCGCACCCUGAGUCAGGUCUUCUCCAGAAGGUUCAGGGCAAGCUCUGGAUUACAGAUAGGAAACCAAAUGCAUGAGGAAGGCACUGCUCACCCUGCAAUGACGGUCAAGGCGUGAGGCACCGCUCCUGGCUGUGUUCUAUGUUCUGUAAAGGAAAACAGUGCAGGUAGGAGAAAAGAGGGGCCUGGGAAGGGAAGAAAACAGCAGGGAAGAGGAGGGCUGAAGACAGAGCAGGAGGAAGGCUGAGUGGCUUUAGCUCUUUGGCCUAACCCAGACCAGUCAGAGUUCACUCUGGGCACCUCCCAGUGGCAGCCACUUGAUUUGCAGGCAAAGAGCUUGGAGACCGGCUCUGCAAAUUCAGCCUUAUCCAUGUCCACAUGGGUAUGGCCCCGGAAAGCACUCAACAAAUAUGCACUAAAUGGAUGACUUCAGGCAGUGAUCCAGAUUAUUCAGAGCAGAAAGCUGCUUGGGCUCUGAUUACAGAAAAGUACUCCCCGCUCAUCCGGAUGCAGGGAUACCUUCCAAGACCCCCUGUGGAGGCCUGAAACUGUGGAUUGUACCGAACUGUAGAAAUACAGUACUGUUUUUUUUUCCUAUACAUACAUACCUAUGAUAAAGCUAGGCACAGUAAGAGAUUAACAGUAAUUACUAAUGAUAAACAGAACGAUUGCCACAAUAUACUGCUGUAAUAAAGUUAGUGUGUGUGAUCUCUCUUUCACAAUAUCCUAGUGUUCCAUGCUCACCUAGUUUCCGGCCACUAUUGACCGUGGGUACCUGAAAUUGCAGAAAGCAGAAACUCAGAUAAGCAGGGACUACUGUACUCUUUUUUUUUUUGAGACAGAGUCUCGCUCUCACCCAGGCUGGAGUGCAGUGGUGUGAUCUCGGCUCGCUGCAACCUCUGCCUCCCAGGUUCAAGCAAUCCUCCUGCUUCUACCUCCCAAAGUACUGGGAUUACAGGCAUGAGCCACCACGCUCGGCCCUGUACUCUUAUUUGCAGGCUCACAUGGCUUUAGGGAGACUGUAUUUUCCAGAAUGCUGAUGACAUUUCUGCUCCAGAUCUGGGGAAGUGUUGGUGAGUCAGUACUCAGCAGGAUAGAAGGCUGAGGACAGUUUGGGCCCCCACAGGUGGCCAUUCUCCCUCCCCAGAAACCUGGCCAUGUGGUGGGCCGAGGCUGCCCGCUCUUUCGAAACUCCAAGCUCUGGGCACCCACAAGGAAGGAAGGACGAAGCGAGGGUGGAGUGAGUGCAGUGAGAAGCGCUCCUCCCGGCCGCCAGCACCAUCCUGCGGAGUUAGUGAUGUGGCGGGAUCAGAGUUCAGUCUUUACAGGGAAUGUCUCCUGGAGACACAUCUUACUGGCAGCAUCUGUGGGCUGCCUGGGGUGGGGUGAGGCAGGAAUGGGGUGGCCUGACCCCUGCCCUGCCCACCUCUCACGCACGCACCUCCACCCACCUGCUGGCUGGUCCCAGAGGCCUUCCUAGGUUCCCGGGAGGCUCUCCGCUGGGAGCCAGGGGAAGUGUCAGAGCCAGGGCGACAUUCCCAGGAAUAGCGAGAGGCCCCAAGGACUCAUUCCCUUUCAGAACGGAAGGCCUCGGUGACCCAGGACCCUCCUGGGGCCGUCACAAGUCUUCGAGUAACCACUGGGGCCCAGCGGGUGAGCUUCAAGGCCACUCCUAAUGGCCACCACGCUGACCAGCAGCUUUUCGAAUGGGCUGGUCCUUUGGAACUGCCCCUGGCUGGUGGGUGUCCCUGCCUGCCAGCCCCCGUCCUGCUGGCCUUGGCCUGGGUGGUGGGCUGGCCCCAGGGUGGGGUGUUCCUCCUACCCCUGCCUCCGCUUCCAUCACUUUUUUUUUUUUUUUGAGACAGCGUCUCUGUUGCUCAGGCUGGAGUGCAGUGGCGCCAUCUCGACUGAUUGCGACCUCUGCCUCCUGAGUUCAAACAAUUCUCCUGCCUCAGUCUCCCGAGUAGCUGGGAUUACAGGCGCCCACCACCGCUCCUGGCUACUUUUUGUAUGUUAGUAGAGAUAGGGUUUCACCAUGUUACCCAGGGUGGUCUAGAACUCCAGACCUCAGGCAAUCCAUCUGCCUCAGCCUCCCAAAGUGCUGGGAUUACAGGCUUGAGCCACACAGCCUGGCUGCUUUGGUCACUUUGGGAACAGUAUUCCAGUGUCAGGCUGCUGGGCUCGGGAGCUUGGGUGUCUGCCCCAGUCAGUCGCCCCUCUUGGGGUGGGACACCCAACAGGCAUGGAACACAGGGUACCUGUGUCUUUUAGGGUGCAGGGCUGGGCAGUUCCAGCAGUGUCCACCAGGGGGCGGGGCCGCACCGCUCAGGGUGGAGCUGGAGCCACCAACCCGCAUCCUGGCUGGGGCUCCCGGCUCUCACCACAGCCCUCUCCGCCUGGCUUCUCUGGGCUUGGGCAAGGCCCCUAACUGUUCUGUGCCUCAGUGUCUUUCCCCUUGAAGGGACUGAUCUGCAGAGUGCCCGCCCUGGGGUUGAGCUUAUGGUGAGGGCUCGGUGGCAGCCAGCCCUGACUGUCCUGUUUACCCCAUGGAGAAACUGAGGCUGGAGUGUCCGCUGGACAUCCGAGGUGACACCCUCAGGUGCAGCUGGCAGCGGGGCCCCAGGAGAUGCUGGGAGAUGCCUAGAUUUGUGGGGUUCUUGGUAUGUGCCCAGCACGCAACAGUUCCAGUUGCAGUCUGGACUCUCUCUGGCAUUGUUUUUUUCAGAAGGUCAUGUUUUCUGUGUGAUACAUAGAAUACCU
rnacentral:lncRNA from 1 species